rnacentral:lncRNA from 1 species
UUAUUUUUGCAAUCCUAAGCUUGAUUUCAUGAAAUUUGUUUUAGAAUUAGGUUUCAUUCUUGAAGUUAUAGUUUUCCUAUUAUAGCUUUAUAUUUUUGGUUUUUCAAGUUCAGUUGCAUUUUGCAUUUUCAUCACUUCAAUUUCAAUUCAAUCUUGAUUUUACUUUGAUUUAACUACUAUAUUUUACUUUUUUUUUAGCAUGCAUUUUACCUAUUGUUCUUAUUCAUUUGUUCAUUCACUUAGUCUUACAUUUUCCAUGUUUAUUUCAAUUAUAUUUUUGUAGAUAAUUAGAUUCCAUGCUUAUAUUAUAGAACCAACUUUAGAAAGGUAAGGUGAUAAUAGAUACUUAUCCUAGGAAUUUUUUUACCUAAUCUUUGUGGGACAAUAUCUUGACCAAAUGGUCACUAUUAUUACUUAUACGAUCCAUGCACUUGUACUUUGACCAAAUCACUUGUGAAUAUAGAUGUUUAAGUAGUCAAUGUACAUUUGUCUUCUGUAAUUUUCAGUCUUUCAUUGUUUUCAGGCUCCAAUUUGUUGAUCACAUAAAUGUUUCCAUUUUGCUUACCUUUCCCACCACUUUCUAUGUAUUAGGGCAAUGUAAUCCUUAUUUUCUAGCAAUGUUAUCCCAAUGCUUUAAUCUUUAUACCGAGCUCAUCAUUUUCCUUUUGAACAAUCAAAUGCCUUUUCUUUUCAUUCUUCAAUUCUUCCUUCAGUUUCUCAUUCUCUCCUCGACUUUAAAUCAACUUUUUUUUGUUUGCAACAAGUGUUUCUUCUGAAUCUUUCCUUUUUUGCACCAUCUAAGUGAUCUUAUCCUUUUUUUCUUAAGCCCUAGGUUUUUAGAGUUGCAUCUCCACCCUGAGUUGCUAGAUCUCUUUUUAGUGUUUGGUUUCUUUCCUUUUUUCCUUUAGUUGAGCCUUCAACCUUUGGUUUUCUAAAUGUAAAUCCUUGAGGUUAUCUUGAGCCAUAUUUUUUUUAUUUAUCACUUUUUUGUUCCUAUCUUUCUAUGCACUCUCCUUACCUUAACUAUCCCAACUCUUCUUACAACUUUAAAUUUUCAUUCUUCAUCUUUUCUUUCUCUGACUCAAACUAUAUCCUGAUCACUUUUGGCUUUAACAGUAGUGCCUUGGCCCAUGAUCGAUUGGUUAUACUGACUCAAGAUUUGAUGGAAGCAUAACGUCAUUGAUUUGCUUGGCCCUCUAUACCAAUGUUGGUAUUUGCCCUCUAAGCUGAAUCAUAUUUUUGCUAAAAAUUACCAUAUUUAUAGUACUAUGAUAUUUGAUAUCUUAUAAACGUCUUAUUCCUUUAUCAUUGAGCUUGUAAACAUAUAUUUCAAUGUUGAUGCUUAUAUGAUAAAUUUUUUAGAAUAUAUAUAACGCUUUGUAAGGGAAUUACAAUGAGAUUGUAGUUAUGAGAUCAUCGUCGCAUAAAAGCUAUAUGUUCCAAAAUUGUUCCUAGUCAAUGCUUUAUCAAUAAGAGGACAUUGACAAAAGCUGUUGAGACUAGCACAUGGUUAUACUUUUGCUUAUGAAGCAAGCAACUAAUCUCAUAAGUUGAAGUUUGGGUAAACUUAAGCUAAUAUAUGGGUGCUUGUUACAAGAACAACUUAACUAAACAUAACCUGAUAUGAGAAUGCUAUAUGGUAGUUCACAUUGUGUUUAAGCUACAUUCUUAGAAAAUGAUUGUUUAAGUGAUUUUUUUACUUGAGAUUACUUAUGAUUUUAUAUAAUGAAUGUUAUACUUUGACUUAACUUAUGGUUCUAACCAAGAAUGCUCUAGUUGAGUAUUAUUAGAUAUAACAUGAGGCAUAUAAAGAUGCAUAAAGUAAUUAAGAUAAAA